rnacentral:rRNA from 1 species
GAUGAACGCUGGCGGCGUGCUUAACACAUGCAAGUCGAACGAUGAAGCCCAGCUUGCUGGGUGGAUUAGUGGCGAACGGGUGAGUAACACGUGAGUAACCUGCCCUUAACUCUGGGAUAAGCCUGGGAAACUGGGUCUAAUACCGGAUAGGAGCGUCCACCGCAUGGUGGGUGUUGGAAAGAUUUAUCGGUUUUGGAUGGACUCGCGGCCUAUCAGCUUGUUGGUGAGGUAAUGGCUCACCAAGGCGACGACGGGUAGCCGGCCUGAGAGGGUGACCGGCCACACUGGGACUGAGACACGGCCCAGACUCCUACGGGAGACAGCAGUGGGGAAUAUUGCACAAUGGGCGCAAGCCUGAUGCAGCGACGCCGCGUGAGGGAUGACGGCCUUCGGGUUGUAAACCUCUUUCAGUAGGGAAGAAGCGAAAGUGACGGUACCUGCAGAAGAAGCACCGGCUAACUACGUG